rnacentral:rRNA from 1 species
AUUGAACGCUGGCGGCAGGCUUAACACAUGCAAGUCGGGCGGGGUGAUGGUGCUUGCACUAUCACUUAGCGGCGGACGGGUGAGUAAUGCUUAGGAAUCUGCCUAUUAGUGGGGGACAACAUCUCGAAAGGGAUGCUAAUACCGCAUACGUCCUACGGGAGAAAGCAGGGGAUCACUUGUGACCUUGCGCUAAUAGAUGAGCCUAAGUCGGAUUAGCUAGUUGGUGGGGUAAAGGCCUACCAAGGCGACGAUCUGUAGCGGGUCUGAGAGGAUGAUCCGCCACACUGGGACUGAGACACGGCCCAGACUCCUACGGGAGGAAGCAGUGGGGAAUAUUGGACAAUGGGGGGAACCCUGAUCCAGCCAUGCCGCGUGUGUGGAGAAGGCCUUAUGGUUGUAAAGCACUUUAAGCGAGGAGGAGGCUCUUUUGGUUAAUACCCAAGAUGAGUGGCCGUUACUCGCAGAAUAAGCACCGGCUAACUCUGUGCCAGCCGCCGCCGUAA